UACACAAAUACAAUAUGAAGGCUUCGGCUGGAUUAUUUAUUUCACCCUUGUCUUUUGCGCACUUGUUGUUUCCUGGGCGGGUUCGCCCGCCACCAGGACCACACCAUAAACCUUUUUUGUUAAUGCAGUCAGCGUCAGUACAACAAAUGUAAAUCAUUUACAACUUUCAACAACGGAUCUCUUGGUUCUGGCAUCGAUGAAGAACGCAGCGAAAUGCGAUACGUAGUGUGAAUUGCAGAAUUCAGUGAAUCAUCGAAUCUUUGAACGCACAUUGCGCCCUUUGGUAUUCCAAAGGGCAUGCCUGUUCGAGCGUCAUUUGUACCCUCAAGCUUUGCUUGGUGUUGGGCGUUUUGUCUUUGCUCGCCAAAGACUCGCCUUAAAACGAUUGGCAGCCGACCUCUUGGUUUCGCAGCGCAGCACAAUUUUGCGCUUGCAAAUCAGCAAGUUGGCACUCCAUCAAGAACAUUUUCUUACGUUUGACCUCGGAUCAGGUAGGGAUACCCGCUGAACUUAAGCAUAUCAAUAAGCGGAGGAAAAGAAACCAACAGGGAUUGCCCUAGUAACGGCGAGUGAAGCGGCAACAGCUCAAAUUUGAAAUCUGGCUCUUUCAGAGUCCGAGUUGUAAUUUGCAGAGGGCGCUUUGGCUUUGGCAGCGGUCCAAGUUCCUUGGAACAGGACGUCACAGAGGGUGAGAAUCCCGUACGUGGUCGCUAGCUAUUGCCGUGUAAAGCCCCUUCGACGAGUCGAGUUGUUUGGGAAUGCAGCUCUAAAUGGGAGGUAAAUUUCUUCUAAAGCUAAAUAUUGGCCAGAGACCGAUAGCGCACAAGUAGAGUGAUCGAAAGAUGAAAAGCACUUUGGAAAGAGAGUCAAACAGCACGUG
rnacentral:rRNA from 1 species